AGUGAAGGGCUGAUUUGGAGCAGCCCAUAGUCCCAGGAGGAUGGUGGGAGGCUGUAACAGCCACACGGACUAGCUGGGGAAAGGCCGGGAGGGCUUUCUCCCUCUCUGUGUGAAUGCAGACUGCUGUAUCUGUAGAAGCUGGGAAUAAGAAGCACGGGACAUGGGUGAGAUACUUCACUCCGGUGGGCUAUCUUGGCGUGCAAGGAGUUCAUUCCCAUUUUAAUUUCUAAGGCUUUAUCACAGAGGAUUUAAGCAGCAAUAACUGGAGACAACCUCGGGUCCAAUACCUAUGAUUAUCUCAGAAAGUGGCAAGAAUGCAGCCAGUGAUUUAUAUUCAGGUUCCUGUCGACCAGCACAGGAAGUACAGCACAGCACCAGGGCUGUUCACCACACCUUCCACACACGGCCUUUGGGAGACAUCAGAUCUAAACUGUAACAGGGCUAGGACUCAAACUCAGCCCUGUACACUGGCUAAGAGUUUUGGACAGCUUGAGUUCCAUCCACAGAUCUGAGGCUGACAUUUAAAUAAUGUUCUUUGGGGUGUCCCAGAUUUUCUGUAUUUCGUGGCCCACAGAUCUUUGAUGGGCUCGUAAAUAUGGAAAAGGAACCUGAGGUUAUUCUCCAAGAAGCCUCACUUUUCAGUCCCGAGAGGGGAGGACUCCGCUGUGCGCCAGGAAGUGCCCAGCAAGAUCACACGCUGUCAGCACAGGAGCCGGGCUGUGCAGAGCACCAACGACACCCUUGAAACCAUCUUUAAUGAAAUGUAAACACUGAGUAGCAUGAGGGCCACGGUUUCUGGGUGGGUGGAUCAAACUUUGGCAAUAGAGACUUAGAGGGAAAUUUCUCCAGUUUAACGGCCUCCAGAUGUUCUUCUGGUCCCAGCUGAAAUUUUUUUCAUCAUUUAUAGUUAAUAUUUUUGUCAGCAGCAGCCUUUUGUCAUAAUAUCUCCAAAUUAGUGGUAGUGACCUAUAGUCAUCAGCCAAUCCCAAAUAAGCAUUUAACCUAGGGGGUCACGCACGUGUUCCAUCACAGUUUACUUAAUGAGUAAUUCCUUACCGGGGUCCCCAUGAGGAUGUUCUGUCACACGAUCCUGUCUGGUGACCAGCAGUUACUGAAGUCUUACACAAAAUGUGACAUCCUGCCUUGACAACGGCCGGCAUCACUCCCAACCCCUAGAGCAUGGAAACAAGGCUGUCAGAUGGCAGCUGGGGCAUGAUUUGGGGAGACUAAACUUUUCUACGUGGAAAAGCUCUUUCUCCAUUUAUUUAGUCCUUUAUGUCUUGUAAUAAAAUUUAACUUUCCCCAUAGAGAUCUUGUAUGGUCUUUGAAAAGCCAAGUAUUGACACUCGUAAUUUUUUUUUACUCCUGUGCAUAGUAGCUUCUUUUCUGUUAUAUUUUGUUGUGUUGUGUUGU